UGUAUCUAUUAUUGCACGAUCUACUGUGCAAUAUAAAGCGCCUUGAGGCGACUGUUGUUGUGAUUUGGUGCUAUAUAAAUAAAAUUGAAUUGAAUUGAAUAACUGUUCACUGGCAUUUAAAAGUUCAGUUCUUAUUUAAAAAUGUACAUAUUUUUAUUUUAUAUUUUAUGCUUUACAAUUUUAGUUUUAAUGUUGUUUACUCCAAACAGUGAUGGCAACAGCAGUUUUGGCCAGAAGCAGAGGUGUUUUCAGCACCAUCAAAGUCCUGUUCCUCAUGUUCACCCUGCUGUGUCUCAUUUGCCUUUCAACUUCACUGACAAACAAGAACCAACUGGUGCAGGAAGUGUUCAAUGAAUGUUAUGAGAAAGCACAAGAAGAAAUGGAUAACCUGAUGGUGAGUAAAAUUUUCUCACUGUAUAUAAAACAUUCUGAGUUUGUCCCUUGUGUGCGUUAAGAAUAUUAUCAUGCAUGAGUUUGUUGUGCAUUUAUUUAUGUCGUGUCAUGAAGAGAUUUUCUUUUCCUAUUAGGAGGAAAAGUCAGACAUGCUGAAAGCUUCAGAGCUGGUAGAUGAGUAUCUGGCCAUGAUGGACCCAAUGAUAGCAGUGAUCAAGAAAACUAAUGCAUUUGUUGGUUAAAUAGUUCCUGACACAGAUUUGGAGUACCUUAAGGUUUUAUCAGGAGAAGUCAAAGAUGAACUAGACCUCAUAAAUGAAGAACUUGAUGAAGAAAUUACAUCCAAGGAAAAGCAACUGAGGAAAAUGAAGACAUUGAUCGAAUACAUUGAGGAGCAGCACACUGAAUUGUAAUUUUUAUGUCAACUGAUAAAAGUUACGAUUCAUAUAUGUGUUGCACACCUUUAGUUUUUACUAGAACUUCCUUUGAAACUAUGACAUUUUUUGCCUGUUUGACAACUUCUAUGGAACCUUGAUACAAUUUAAAUGUAACUAUCAUAACAUUUGAAAAAUAUGUCAGUGUAUGUCUCUUUAAACUAACACAAAAUAGAAACAUUUUCCUUCGGUUAUUGUUCUAUUAGUUAUGUCAACAAUAGACAAAACUACAUUUUGACUGCACCUCUCCUAAAUGGAAUCAUUUUGUGAAAUCCUAGUGGUAUAAAUACAUCGUUGUUUUUCCCUAUUGUAAUUUAUUGUAAUGAAUUUAAUUGAAGUCAUUGAAUUGAACUGAAUUAAUUUCAGCUGUGAAAAUGGUCUAUACAUGACCAUUCUUUCUUUGAAAGCCUGAAAUUU
rnacentral:lncRNA from 1 species